CAAACACAGUGUUGUUGAGGCAAGUGACGGGGCGGGGCGUGGCGACUGUUGCUGGGAUGCUAAUACUUAUCUGCUGGCACUGGAUUACAGCGAUCAGCGGCUGGCCAGGCUCCCGUGUCCCGAGGCUUGCCAGGAUCCAGGGUCAGGAGGGCAAGGCCGCGGGGAGGUAGAGGAAGGAGGAAGGUCAGCAGGGGCACCAGGGGACGAUGACUGAGGGGUCCCAUGCAGGGAGUCAGCCGCACCCAGAGGCUUGGUCAGUGUGCCGCCGCCCCUGACCCGCACCUCAGGACGGGAAGGACGCGCUCACUGAUCACUCCUCAUCUGAAGCACAACGGUAAGAUGCCUCGUAGGGCCAGUUUCACAGUUCCCCAUAACGGGUUGGUAAGCUCCCAAACCAAUACCAGAGCCUUCGAAAUUUCCUUGUAUAGUGUCUGGUGUUUGUAUUUAAGUUCACAAAUUUGACGAAACUAUGCAGGAAAAGUCUUGUGUAUUUAGUGUGGCAUCGAAGACCUCACCAUUUUGGAUUGUAAGGGAUUCUAUAGUUUGGUUCGGGCUGUUACGAAGACACUGUGUUGGACUGUGAAAUCGGCUUAAUGACACCGGCACAGU